rnacentral:rRNA from 1 species
UGACCUCAAAUCAGGUAGGACUACCCGCUGAACUUAAGCAUAUCAAUAAGCGGAGGAAAAGAAACUAACAAGGAUUCCCCUAGUAACUGCGAGUGAAGCGGGAAAAGCUCAAAUUUAAAAUCUGGCGGUCUCUGGCUGUCCGAGUG